GAUGAACGCUGGCGGCGUGCCUAAUACAUGCAAGUCGAGCGAAGCGGGGACGGGUGAGUAAGACGUGGAUAACCUCCUAUAAGACUGGGAUAACUUCGGGAAACCGGAGCUAAACCGGAUACGUAUAGAUGGAGCCGCGCUGCAUUAGCUAUUUGGUAAGGUAACGGCUUUCCAAGGCACCGAUGCAUAGCCGACCUGAUAGGGUGAUCUGCCCCACUGGAACUGAGCCCCGUUCCCGCCUCCUACGGGAGGCAGCAGUAGGGAAUCUUCCGCAAUGGGCGAAAGCCUGACGGAGCACCGCCGCGUGAGUGAUGAAGGUCUUCGGAUCGUAAAACUCUGUUAUUAGGGAAGCGGUACCUAAUCAGAAAGCCACGGCUAACUCCGUGCCAGCCACCGCGGUAAUUC
rnacentral:rRNA from 1 species